rnacentral:rRNA from 1 species
AGAAUCAACGCUGGCGGCGUGCCUAACACAUGCAAGUCGAACGAGAACGGGUAGCAAUACCUUAGUAAAGUGGCGCACGGGUGAGUAACACGUGACUAACCUACCCUGGAGUGGGGGAUAACUGAGAGAAAUCUUAGCUAAUACCGCAUAACACCUACGGGUCAAAGGAGCAAUUCGCUUCAGGAGGGGGUCGCGGCAGAUUAGAUAGUUGGCGGGUAAUGGCCCACCAAGUCAGUGAUCUGUA